UGAAAUGAAUGAGGACCUGGUC
rnacentral:piRNA from 1 species